rnacentral:tmRNA from 1 species
GGGGCUGAUUCUGGAUUCGACGGGAUUUGCGAAACCCAAGGUGCAUGCCGAGGGGCGGUUGGCCUCGUAAAAAGCCGCAAAAAAUAGUCGCAAACGACGAAAACUACGCUUUAGCAGCUUAAUAACCUGCUUAGAGCCCUCUCUCCCUAGCCUCCGCUCUUAGGACGGGGAUCAAGAGAGGUCAAACCCAAAAGAGAUCGCGUGGAAGCCCUGCCUGGGGUUGAAGCGUUAAAACUUAAUCAGGCUAGUUUGUUAGUGGCGUGUCCGUCCGCAGCUGGCAAGCGAAUGUAAAGACUGACUAAGCAUGUAGUACCGAGGAUGUAGGAAUUUCGGA